rnacentral:rRNA from 1 species
UGGGGAAUAUUGCACAAUGGGCGCAAGCCUGAUGCAGCCAUGCCGCGUGUGUGAAGAAGGCCUUCGGGUUGUAAGCACUUUCAGCGAGGAGGAAGGGUAGUGUGUUAAUAGCACAUUGCAUUGACGUUACUCGCAGAAGAAGCACCGGCUAACUCCGUGCCAGCAGCCGCGGUAAUACGGAGGGUGCAAGCGUUAAUCGGAAUUACUGGGCGUAAAGCGCACGCAGGCGAUUUGUUAAGUCAGAUGUGAAAUCCCCGCGCUUAACGUGGGAACUGCAUUUGAAACUGGCAAGCUAGAGUCUUGUAGAGGGGGGUAGAAUUCCAGGU